UGGGACGGGGCGGGUCUUACCAUGCAGUCGAACGAUGAACCACUUCGGUGGGGAUUAGUGGCGAACGGGUGAGUAACACGUGGGCAAUCUGCCCUUCACUCUGGGACAAGCCCUGGAAACGGGGUCUAAUACCGGAUACCACUCUCGCAGGCAUCUGUGAGGGUUGAAAGCUCCGGCGGUGAAGGAUGAGCCCGCGGCCUAUCAGCUUGUUGGUGAGGUAACGGCUCACCAAGGCGACGACGGGUAGCCGGCCUGAGAGGGCGACCGGCCACACUGGGACUGAGACACGGCCCAGACUCCUACGGGAGGCAGCAGUGGGGAAUAUUGCACAAUGGGCGAAAGCCUGAUGCAGCGACGCCGCGUGAGGGAUGACGGCCUUCGGGUUGUAAACCUCUUUCAGCAGGGAAGAAGCGAAAGUGACGGUACCUGCAGAAGAAGCGCCGGCUAACUACGUGCCAGCAGCCGCGGUAAUACGUAGGGCGCAAGCGUUGUCCGGAAUUAUUGGGCGUAAAGAGCUCGUAGGCGGUCUGUCACGUCGGAUGUGAAAGCCCGGGGCUUAACCCCGGGUCUGCAUUCGAUACGGGCAGACUAGAGUGUGGUAGGGGAGAUCGGAAUUCCUGGUGUAGCGGUGAAAUGCGCAGAUAUCAGGAGGAACACCGGUGGCGAAGGCGGAUCUCUGGGCCAUUACUGACGCUGAGGAGCGAAAGCGUGGGGAGCGAACAGGAUUAGAUACCCUGGUAGUCCACGCCGUAAACGGUGGGAACUAGGUGUUGGCGACAUUCCACGUCGUCGGUGCCGCAGCUAACGCAUUAAGUUCCCCGCCUGGGGAGUACGGCCGCAAGGCUAAAACUCAAAGGAAUUGACGGGGGCCCGCACAAGCAGCGGAGCAUGUGGCUUAAUUCGACGCAACGCGAAGAACCUUACCAAGGCUUGACAUACACCGGAAACACUCAGAGAUGGGUGCCCCCUUGUGGUCGGUGUACAGGUGGUGCAUGGCUGUCGUCAGCUCGUGUCGUGAGAUGUUGGGUUAAGUCCCGCAACGAGCGCAACCCUUGUUCUGUGUUGCCAGCAUGCCCUUCGGGGUGAUGGGGACUCACAGGAGACUGCCGGGGUCAACUCGGAGGAAGGUGGGGACGACGUCAAGUCAUCAUGCCCCUUAUGUCUUGGGCUGCACACGUGCUACAAUGGCCGGUACAAAGAGCUGCGAAACCGUGAGGUGGAGCGAAUCUCAAAAAGCCGGUCUCAGUUCGGAUUGGGGUCUGCAACUCGACCCCAUGAAGUCGGAGUUGCUAGUAAUCGCAGAUCAGCAUUGCUGCGGUGAAUACGUUCCCGGGCCUUGUACACACCGCCCGUCACGUCACGAAAGUCGGUAACACCCGAAGCCGGUGGCCCAACCCCUUGUGGGAGGGAGCUGUCGAAGGUGGGACUGGCGAUGGGACGAAGUCGAACAAGGAGCAGAACCGG
rnacentral:rRNA from 1 species